AUUGAACGCUGGCGGCAGGCCUAACACAUGCAAGUCGAGCGAGCGGCGGACGGGUGCGUAAUAUAUGGGACACUGCCUGAUGGAGGGGUAUAACUACUGGAAACGGUAGCUACUCCCGCAUCCAAUCAGGUGUGCCCAGCUGGGAUUAGCUGGUAGGUGGGGGAACGGCUCACCAAGGCGUCGAUCCCUAGCUGGUCUGAGAGGAUGACCAGCCAUACUGGAACUGUGACACGGUCCAGACUCCUACGGGAGGCAGCAGUGGGGAAUAUUGGACAAGGGGCGCAAGCCGGAUGCAGCAAUGCCGCGUGUGUGAAGAAGGCCUUCGGGUUGUAAAGCACUUUCAGCGGGGAGGCGUUACCCGCAGAAGAAGCACCGGCUAACUCCGUGCCAGCAGCGGCGGUAAUUC
rnacentral:rRNA from 1 species